UACGUAGGGUGCGAGCGUUAAUCGGAAUUACUGGGCGUAAAGCGUGCGCAGGCGGUUGUGUAAGACAGUUGUGAAAGCCCCGGGCUCAACCUGGGAAUUGCAUCUGUGACUGCACAGCUAGAGUACGGUAGAGGGGGAUGGAAUUCCGCGUGUAGCAGUGAAAUGCGUAGAUAUGCGGAGGAACACCAAUGGCGAAGGCAAUCCCCUGGACCUGUACUGACGCUCAUGCACGAAAGCGUGGGGAGCAAACAGG
rnacentral:rRNA from 1 species